rnacentral:rRNA from 1 species
UACAUGGGGUGCAAACGUUGCUCGGAAUCAUUGGGCGUAAAGCGCGCGUAGGCGGUUACUUAAGUUGGAUGUGAAAGCCCUCGGCUUAACUGAGGAAGUGCAUCCAAAACUGAGUAGCUAGAGUACGAAAGAGGGUCGCGGAAUUCCCGGUGUAGAGGUGAAAUUCGUAGAUAUCGGGAGGAACAUCUGUGGCGAAGGCGGCCAUCUGGACCAGCACUGACACUGAGGCACGAAAGCGUGGGGAGCAAACAGG